GCCGGGUGUGGUGGCGCAUGCCUGUAAUCCCAGUUACUCGGAGGCUGAGGCAGGAGAAUUGCUUGAACCCAGGAGAUGGAGGAGGCAGUGAGCCAAGACCACACCAUUGCAUUCCAGCCUGGGUGACAGAGCAAGAUUCUGUCUCAA
ensembl:misc_RNA Metazoa_SRP Metazoan signal recognition particle RNA